CUACUCUACUGUACUCUACUGUACUCCAGGGUACUGUUUUCUACUGUACUCUACUGUACUCUACUCUACUGUACUCUACUGUACUGUAGUCUACUCUACUUUACUGUACUAUACUGUACUCUAUUGUACUGUGCUCUAUUGAAUGGUACUUGGCUGUAGAGGGGUGUUAUUAAUGUAUUGAUGCUAAGCUCAGCUUAUCUCUGGGUGGAUUCAGCUAAAAACAGACCCUGGUUAUGAUACUGUCCUCAUCAACACUCCUCUAUAGGACACUGAAGUACUGUGUUAGGCCAAGCACUGGCAAAGAGGGUAAACACUAUACAGGUACAGCAUACAGUAUGUGUGUAGUAUCGUUUAGGUGGUAUAGUAUUCCGUAUGUGUGUCGUACUGUAUGGUAUACAAUAUGAAUGUAGUAAUGUAUCGGUGGUAUAGUAUACAGUAUGUACAUAGUAUUAUAUAGUAUGCAGUAUGUAUGUAGUAUUGUUUAGGUGGUAUAGUAUUCAGUAUGUGUGUAGUACUGUAUGGUAUACAAUAUGAAUGUAGUAAUGUAUCGGUGGUAUAGUAUACAGUAUGUACAUAGUAUUAUAUAGUAUGCAGUAUGUAUGUAGUAUUGUUUAGGUGGUAUAGUAUACAGUAUGUACGUAGUAUUAUAUAGUAUGCAGUAUGUAUGUAGUAUUUUAUAGGUGGUAUAGUAUUCAGUAUGUGUGUCGUACUGUAUGGUAUACAAUAUGAAUGUAGUAAUGUAUCGGUGGUAUAGUAUACCGUAUGAACGUAGUAUUAUAUAGUAUACAGUAUGUAUGUAGUAUUUUAUAGUAUUCAGUAUGUAUGUAGUAUUGUAUGAUAUACAAUAUGAAUGUAGUAUUGUAUAGGUGGUUUAGUAUACAGUAUGUAUGCAGUAGUGUAUAGUAUACAGUAUGUAUAUAGUAUUGUAAAGAUGGUUAAGUAUACAGUAGGUACGUAGUAUUGUAUAGGUGAUACAGUAUACUGUAUGCAGUAUGUUGGACUAGGACUGUAUGAUGAGUAUGUGUUGGGGCAGGCUUGCUUCCAUCUCUGGUGUCAGAGAAAAACAGGCAAGUUGACAGGGAGACUCUAUCCAUCUAGCUAUACAUAUCCUGAGGUCAGUUACAUGUAAGGACAUGUAGAGAAACGCCCAUCUUCCACUGCUCUAGGAUCAGGUAGGGAGGAUCUAGGAUCAGGUAGGGAGGAUCUAGGAUCAGGUAGGGAGGAUCUAGGAUCAGGUAGGGAGGAUCUAGGAUCAGGUAGGGAGGAUCUAGGAUCAGGUAGGGAGGAUCUAGGAUCAGGUAGGGAGGAUCUAGGAUCAGGUAGGGAGGAUCUAGGAUCAGGUAGGGAGGAUCUAGGAUCAGGUAGGGAGGAUCUAGGAUCAGGUAGGGAGGAUCUAGGAUCAGGUAGGGAGGAUCUAGG